UUUCCGUAGGUGAACCUGCGGAAGGAUCAUUCAUAAUAAGUGUUUUAUGGCACUUUUUUAAAUCCAUAUCCACCUUGUGUGCAAUGUCAGGGUUGAUUUUUCUCUCGAGAGGAUCAACCCCAAACAUCAACUAUAUCCCAACUCUUUGUCUGAAAAAUAUUAUGAAUAAAACAAUUCAAAAUACAACUUUCAACAACGGAUCUCUUGGCUCUC
rnacentral:misc_RNA from 1 species